UACGUAGGGUGCGAGCGUUGUCCGGGAUUAUUGGGCGUAAAGGGCUCGUAGGCGGUCUGUUGCGUCAGGAGUGAAAACUCGGGGCUUAACCCCGAGCCUGCUUCUGAUACGGGCAGACUAGAGGUAUGCAGGGGAGAACGGAAUUCCUGGUGUAGCGGUGAAAUGCGCAGAUAUCAGGAGGAACACCUAUGGCGAAGGCAGCUCGCUGGGACGGUACUGACGCUGAGACGCGAAAGCGUGGGGAGCGAACAGG
rnacentral:rRNA from 1 species